rnacentral:ncRNA from 1 species
AAGCUAGGGGAGCUAGAAUUGGCUAGCUGAGAAAAAAGCCUCAACUUAAAGACCCUAAAAACCUGAUCAAGGUAAUUCUUGCGAAGGGAAGCUUAUAAUA